rnacentral:rRNA from 1 species
CCAGACUCCUACGGGAGGCAGCAGCUAAGAAUAUUCCGCAAUGGACGGAAGUCUGACGGAGCGACGCCGCGUGGAUGAAGAAGGCUGAAAAGUUGUAAAAUCCUUUUGUUGAUGAAGAAUAAGGGUGAGAGGGAAUGCUCAUCUGAUGACGGUAAUCGACGAAUAAGCCCCGGCUAAUUACGUGCCAGCAGCCGCGGUAACACGUAAGGGGCGAGCGUUGUUCGGAAUUAUUGGGCGUAAAGGGCAUGUAGGCGGCUAUGUAAGCCUGAUGUGAAAUCCUGGGGCUUAACCCUAGAAUAGCAUUGGGUACUGUAUAGCUUGAAUUACGGAAGGGAAACUGGAAUUCCAAGUGUAGGGGUGGAAUCUGUAGAUAUUUGGAAGAACACCGGUGGCGAAGGCGGGUUUCUGGCCGAUAAUUGACGCUGAGAUGCGAAAGUGUGGGGAUCGAACAGGAUUAGAUACCCUGGUAGUCCACACUGUAAACGAUGUACACUAGGUGUUGGGGCAAGAGCUUCAGUGCCAAAGCAAACGCGAUAAGUGUACCGCCUGGGGAGUAUGCCCGCAAGGGUGAAACUCAAAGGAAUUGACGGGGGCCCGCACAAG